AUCCAAGUUGAACGGAAUGAUGAGAGAGCUUGUUUUUUUGGAAAAGUUUAGGGGGGACGGGUGAGUAACGGGGGGGAAACCUGCCUUCCACUGGGGGAUAACAGAAGGAAACGCCUGUUAAUCCCGCAUAAGCGCACGGUGCUGCAUGGCACCGUGUGAAAAACUCCGGUGGGGUAAGAUGGUCCCGCGUCUGAUUAGCUAGUUGGUGAGGUAACGGCCCACCAAGGCGACGAUCAGUAGCCGGCCUGAGAGGGCGUACGGCCACAUUGGGACUGAGACACGGCCCAAACUCCUACGGGAGGCAGCAGUGGGGAAUAUUGCACAAUGGAGGAAACUCUGAUGCAGCGACGCCGCGUGGGGGAUGACGGCCUUCGGGUUGUAAACUCCUUUCACCAUCGACGAAGGUUUUCUGACGGUAGAUGGAGAAGAAGCACCGGCUAACUACGUGCCAGCAGCCGCGGUAAUACGUAGGGUGCGAGCGUUGUCCGGAAUUACUGGGCGUAAAGAGCUCGUAGGUGGUUUGUCGCGUCGUCUGUGAAAUUCCGGGGCUUAACUCCGGGCGUGCAGGCGAUACGGGCAUAACUUGAGUACUGUAGGGGAGACUGGAAUUCCUGGUGUAGCGGUGAAAUGCGCAGAUAUCAGGAGGAACACCGGUGGCGAAGGCGGGUCUCUGGGCAGUAACUGACGCUGAGGAGCGAAAGCAUGGGUAGCGAACAGGAUUAGAUACCCUGGUAGUCCAUGCCGUAAACGGUGGGCGCUAGGUGUAGGGGUCUUCCACGACUUCUGUGCCGUAGCUAACGCAUUAAG
rnacentral:rRNA from 1 species